AUUGAAUGCUGGCGGCAGGCCUAACACAUGCAAGUCGAGCGGAUGAAGGGAGCUUGCUCCUGGAUUCAGCGGCGGACGGGUGAGUAAUGCCUAGGAAUCUGCCUGGUAGUGGGGGAUAACGUCCGGAAACGGGCGCUAAUACCGCAUACGUCCUGAGGGAGAAAGUGGGGGAUCUACGGACCUCACGCUAUCAGAUGAGCCUAGGUCGGAUUAGCUAGUUGGUGGGGUAAAGGCCUACCAAGGCGACGAUCCGUAACUGGUCUGAGAGGAUGAUCAGUCACACUGGAACUGAGACACGGUCCAGACUCCUACGGGAGGCAGCAGUGGGGAAUAUUGGACAAUGGGCGAAAGCCUGAUCCAGCCAUGCCGCGUGUGUGAAGAAGGUCUUCGGAUUGUAAAGCACUUUAAGUUGGGAGGAAGGGCAGUAAGUUAAUACCUUGCUGUUUUGACGUUACCAACAGAAUAAGCACCGGCUAACUUCGUG
rnacentral:rRNA from 1 species